CAGCGUUUCCUUAGGAGAGGGGGGCCAUCGACCUCGCGAACCCGCUCCUCAACCGCACCGUCGACGGCUUCCUCAAGAUCGGCGCCGUCGGCGCCUGUUGGGUAGUCGCCGAGGACGCCUUCAACUGCAUCCACACGGGCCGAAAUGGGGCGUUGGAGAAGCUGCUGGCCGGUAGAUCUGUGUGAAAGCCACCAUUGAGAGGUACAAAAAGGCCAACAGUGACACAUCCAACUCUGGCACGGUUGUAGAAGUCAAUGCCCAGGUAACAUCAUGUCAUUCUUUCACUCUACAGCAAUUGCUUGAAUUGACACCCAAGAUGUGAUCUUUUGCUAUCUUAGGAGAACCUGGUGUGCUAUAUGGGGAAGCAAAGCAGCAGCCCACAACCCGACCUGUGACUCCAGAUGAAGGCACCACGAUGCACCAUAAUUAUCCCUUGGAAGCUCAGCUCCUGGACUCUAACUUCCUCUCAAUUUGUGCUCUGCUUGAUAUCAGUUCCUUGUAUGGCUGAUGCAUUGAUGCAAGUUGUAAUGUGCAGGGCUUCUGAGUUUGCACCCCACCGCCCGGACGGAGCAAGGAGGGGGCAUCAUCCACACAGUGGAGUUGGUUGAGCCUUGAGUGCGGCCUGGAGACGCAGGGCAUUGUAUGGGGUCAUCUCUUUCUUGUGUUGUGAUGCUGCUGUUUCAUGUUUCGUCGCGAGCAUCAAGAUGAAGAAGUCGGAAGAAGCAUAGUUCAAGCUCAUUGGAUCUAGUUCAAGGAGUAUUGAAGGCCUUGAUGCUGAUCGUAUUGGAAAAAAUUGAAGCAUGAACUUGGCUCAUGUGACAUAUU